AUUGAACGCUGGCGGCAUGCCUUACACAUGCAAGUCGAACGGCAGCACGGGAGCAAUCCUGGUGGCGAGUGGCGAACGGGUGAGUAAUAUAUCGGAACGUGCCCAGUCGUGGGGAUAACGUAGCGAAAGCUACGCUAAUACCGCAUACGAUCUAUGGAUGAAAGCGGGGGAUCGCAAGACCUCGCGCGAUUGGAGCGGCCGAUAUCAGAUUAGGUAGUUGGUGAGGUAAAGGCUCACCAAGCCGACGAUCUGUAGCUGGUCUGAGAGGACGACCAGCCACACUGGAACUGAGACACGGUCCAGACUCCUACGGGAGCAGCAGUGGGGAAUUUUGGACAAUGGGCGCAAGCCUGAUCCAGCAAUGCCGCGUGCAGGAUGAAGGCCUUGGUGUAACUGACUUUG
rnacentral:rRNA from 1 species